rnacentral:sRNA from 1 species
AUAACGUGAUGGGAAGCGGCGCGCUUCCCGUGUAUGAUUGAACCCGCGGGCGCAGCAGCGCUAAGGGUUCAUUUUUGU